CAGGGCAUUGCUCAGUAUAGUAGAGCACUUACCUAGUAUGUGUGGGUCCCUGGGUUCAAUUCCCAGUCCUGA
rnacentral:tRNA from 1 species